GACGAACGCUGGCGGCGUGCUUAACACAUGCAAGUCGAACGGUAAGGCCCUUCGGGGUACACGAGUGGCGAACGGGUGAGUAACACGUGGGUGAUCUGCCCUGCACUUCGGGAUAAGCCUGGGAAACUGGGUCUAAUACCGGAUAGGACCACUGCCUGCAUGGGUGGUGGUGGAAAGCUUUUGCGGUGUGGGAUGGGCCCGCGGCCUAUCAGCUUGUUGGUGGGGUGAUGGCCUACCAAGGCGACGACGGGUAGCCGGCCUGAGAGGGUGACCGGCCACACUGGGACUGUGAUACGGCCCAGACUCCUACGGGAGGCAGCAGUGGGGAAUAUUGCACAAUGGGCGCAAGCCUGAUGCAGCGACGCCGCGUGAGGGAUGACGGCCUUCGGGUUGUAAACCUCUUUCAGCACCGACGAAGCGCAAGUGACGGUAGGUGCAGAAGAAGGACCGGCCAACUACGUGCCAGCAGCCGCUGUAA
rnacentral:rRNA from 1 species